rnacentral:rRNA from 1 species
CUUCCGUAGGGUGAACCUGCGGAAGGAUCAUUAAUGAGUGCAGGCCCUCUGGGUCUAACCUCCCACCCGUGUCUAUUGUACCUUGUUGCUUCGGUGGGCCCGCCUGACGCCAGGCCGCCGGGGGGCACUCCCCGGGCGCGCGCCCGCCGAAGACACCCUGGAACUCUGUCUGUGAGUGUUGUCUGAGUGGGAUUGUAAUCAGUUAAAACUUUCAACAACGGAUCUCUUGGUUCCGGCAUCGAUGAAGAACGCAGCGAAAUGCGAUAAGUAAUGUGAAUUGCAGAAUUCAGUGAAUCAUCGAGUCUUUGAACGCACAUUGCGCCCCCUGGUAUUCCGGGGGGCAUGCCUGUCCGAGCGUCAUUGCACCCCUCAAGCCCGGCUUGUCCUUGGGUUGUGUCCCUCCGUUCCGGGGGGACAGGCCUCAAAUGCAAUGGCGGCACCGCGUCCGGUCCUCGAGCGUAUGGGGCUUUGUCACCCGCUUUGUAGGCCGGCCGGUCGCUUGCCCGUCAAGCACAACUUCUUAUGUUGACCUCGGAUCAGGUAGGGAUACCAUCGCUGAACUUAAGCAUAUCAAUAAGGCGGAGGAAAUCAUUAAUGAGUGCAGGCCCUCUGGGUCUAACCUCCCACCCGUGUCUAUUGUACCUUGUUGCUUCGGUGGGCCCGCCUGACGCCAGGCCGCCGGGGGGCACUCCCCGGGCGCGCGCCCGCCGAAAGACACCCUGGAACUCUGUCUGUGAGUGUUGUC